CAGACAUCUUGCAGAUGAAAGAAUUUUUCAGUCUUGCAUUCAGUUUCACGAACCAGUAAUCCUUCAUUUAAAAUGCAUGCAGAAUACACACCACACGCUGCUCAUCAAGCAAGGUGACCCAGGCCCUCUGAAGAUUGAUCCGGCUACAGAUUCACCCAAGUCUUCCAUUGAUGCAGCAAAACUGCCUGAAUUUGAGUGCCAAAUCAUGGGGUUUAAGAAGCUUAAGAGCAGGUAACUUCCCUUCCUUCUUAUGCUGUGAAUUACUGCUAGAAACACAAGUGAAGAUGAACGAAUCUGUGGUUCUAAACUCACGGUGUGCUGUGACGCCUGCUAACCCUGCCUUUUCAGGCUUCUUUACCCAUGCAGUGGUAAUGUCAGGGAUAUGUGCUUUAUUCUGACAUACAAACAUGCUAUGAAGACUUCUGAAAGCCAUCCCCAGUCAGCCUUCUGGGCUGCAGGUGCACACUGCUAACUCACAUCCAACUUUUUUUUGUCCUCAAGUCCUCCUCCGCAGGGCUGCUCUCAAUGAGUUCUUCUCCCAAGCCAUACGCACCUGGGAUUGCCCCGACUCUCUUCCCUGUGCACAGAUAAGCUAGGAGAUCUGGGUGAAUGCUGCAGCAUGGUGGCACGGAGCAGGAAGAAGGAGCCAGGGGCAGAGAGGGAAGGUGUUUCCUUCAGCUGACACUGCCACCAAAACCCAUGCCUUUGGCACAUCUCCGGAAAUAGUCUGAGAAAGGCAGGAGGAGGAAUAACGCCUUCCUGGGGGGGAAAAGGCUUUCUGGUUGUUCAAGUGUUCCCUUGCUCAAGGAAGCUGACUUUCUAUAUUCUUGUAAAUAAGCAAAAACCGUACCCAGGCUCCUGGCUCCAUUAAUAAUUUCUCUUCCUAACGGGAACAAGCAUUCCGGGUUCAAACAUCUCAGCAAGCUGCUUAACAACUCAAAGAGCAGGAACACUUCCCAGACCUGGAGUCACCAAAGACGUCUUGCCUGGCAAAUCCGUAAAAUUGUUCCUGCUAUGAAAGCAUGGCC
rnacentral:lncRNA from 1 species